AUGUGUUUUUUGGUUUUCUUCCUUGAUCUGCUAUUUCCUUUGGUGAUCCUUCUUCAUUUAAACAAGUCCACAACUCGAUUGAUUAUAAGCUUCUUUUGUUGCAGCAGUUUAUUUUUUUUCAUCAUCAAGAUUUCUCCAGUUAGUAUUUCUGUUUCGGUGUGCUGUGUGCUUCUUGCCGACGGACCUCCCAUUGCUUAUGUCCUACCAGUAGAGCCAUGCCUCCUUGUCCUGUCUGUCAAAAGCUCGGUACAACCAGUAGCGAGGCACCUCCCUGUGGCGCUGUUCGUUGAAAGCUUUCUUUCUCUUUGUCACAAAUGUCUUCUCAUUAUAUCUGUCCAAUUGAUGAUCCACUAG
rnacentral:rRNA from 1 species